rfam:Aedes albopictus isolate Foshan contig116102, whole genome shotgun sequence.
GCGUCGGUGGUGUAGUGGUAAGCGUGGCUGCCUCUCACCCCAGUCGGUCGGGAUUAAAUUCCCGUCGACGCC